rnacentral:tRNA from 2 species
GCCCUCGUGAUGAAAUUGGUAGACGUAGGGGACUCAAAAUCCCCCGGUAGUGAUACCGUGCCGGUUCGAGUCCGGCCGAGGGCA